rnacentral:tRNA from 1 species
GGGGGUUUAGCUCAGCUGGGAGAGCACCUGUUUUGCAAGCAGGGGGUCGUCGGUUCGAUCCCGUCAACCUCCACCA